rnacentral:lncRNA from 1 species
AGCAGAAUCUGCUCCUCUUCAAGAAUCUCUGCAUCAUACAAGACCUUGAGCAAAAGCGCUAUCUCCUUGCUCGCGUUCAGAGGGAGAGCAGCGCAGAAGGUUUCAAUCGCAGCCAAAAGAUGCUUCUGAGAGGUUUCAUCUUGCACAACGGCAUCCAAAUAAGCUUUCUUCUUGCUAAUCUCUUUGUGAAGCCCCUUGCCGCAACCUUCAAACAGCGCAACAAAGAAUGCAU